AAGGAUAAACGGAAGCACGUUUGGAGUAUUGUUUAGUUUUGAGAGGUCUUGUGGGGCCUUAGCUCAGCUGGGAGAGCGCCUGCUUUGCACGCAGGAGGUCAGCGGUUCGAUCCCGCUAGGCUCCAUUGAAUCGAAAGAUUCAAAGAUUGUCCAUUGAAAAUUGAAUAUCUAUAUCAAAUUCCACGAUUCAAGAAAUUGAAUUGUAUAUAGUAACAAGAAAUAAACCGAAACGCUGUGAUUUAAUGAGUUUAAGGUCAACAGACCAAAAUAA
rnacentral:tRNA from 1 species